UCGUUGGUGACUUGCCACGAGACUGCUUAUGAGAGCCGUCCGAUCUCGCUCAAUCGGACGGCUCUCACGCUCGACGUAUAAAGGCCUAAAAUGCUGGUCGAGCUCCCCCUCCCACCGUGAGCCUUCUCUCCGUCGCCGGCGACGCUCAGCUGUCGUCGACGGAGCCUCGCCGUGAGCCCUCCGUCUCUCGCUCUCUUUCUCUGUCUCACAGCACGCGGUCUCCCCCCUUGCUCCCCCGACUUCCCCUCUCGCCCAAACCGGAUGCCUCUCACGCUUCCGCCACAGAGGGACGCGACAGUGGGUGGUACCGCCGUCAUUGCUCGCCGCCGAAACCGCUACAAGCCCGAGCAGAAACCGGACGCAACCUCCCCCCGCCCCGUCUGCCUCAGGAAUUCAAUUACAUUGGGGAGGUCCCCUCAAUGCCUCGUGGAUAUCAAAGGCGGCAGCCACAAAAUCUCAACUCACAUAUGUGCUAUCCUAAUCCAAUCACUCAAACAGACUACAGUUGAUUGAGUUAUCAACGGGUCACACACCAUGAGGCCACUAAGCAUGGAGCAAACAAGACUGUCUGCAUGUGUCGGUGGUCUGUCCUGUCCUGCAAGGAAUCAUGCUCAACUUGAUCAAAUGACAUCACAAGCAAGAUGGACAGGACUUAAACCUGGCCUAAGAAAAUGAAGGAUUUGAUUCUGUGAAGUGCAGUCACCAGACGGAAUGGGCGGUAUUGUCUCCUCUUUUCCACAAGAUGCCCAUCAAGUGCAAGAGGUUGGCAUUCUAGAUUUCCAUGAAGCAGCAAUGGACAUGUGACGGAAGUCCUUUUCCAUGAGUGUCAUCAUGAUGUUGGGGAUCUUCUUCGUAUUAAAAAUGGUUAUUGAAGAGCUCUAUGCUAUAAAGAUGGAAAUUGGCAGAGCUGCUUGUGUUUGGUUCUACUGCAGCUCGCAGUUUCAUAGUUCUUUAUAAGUUGUGGAUAUGGUUGCCUCCGGGUGCUCAAGAAUGCAGUCACACAUGAUCUCCGAGAGUGCUUCAUCCAGAAUGAUACGGAGGAGAAGCAUUGGGCUGGCUUAGUUCACGUAUCAUCUGAAUAGAGUUUAACUUGGCUCGUCUAACGGUAGUGAGUGUGAACAGUUUGAUUCUGCUUGAGUUUUUUGAAACGCAAGUCCUGCUCUUGUGUCCUGCUGAUUAUUUUUAUUUUCUCCAUUUACCAUUCAAAAUUCUACGUAUGAUCCAUUAUUUGAGCACAUGUAACCAAAACAGGUGAUUAAUCCAAAGUACUGCCCACCCUUUUGGAA